rnacentral:tRNA from 1 species
GUGGGUGUGGACGAGUGGUUAAGUCGCUAGGUUGUGGCCCUGGAGAUCGAGGGUUCGAGACCCUCCACCCACC